UGCGCUUUAAGAGAUGAAGUGACGCAGUAGGAUAUACUACAAAAUUAUAUGGUUGAUAAUCUAAGCAUUAAGAGAGGUGUUGUUGGCAAAUCCGCAAUACCGUUGAUUUGAGAUGUGAUGGGCUUGUAAGAGUUUACUCUUGCGAGUGUAGUAGAGUUCACACUGACUAGAAAUAGCUUCUAUCAAGUAACAUUUUAACCGUACCGUAAACUGACACAGGUAGAUGAAUUGAAAAUAUUAAGGCGUUGAGAUAAUUAUCGUUAAGGAACUCGGCAAAUUAACCUCGUAACUUCGGGAGAAGAGGUGCCUGGUAUGUUAAAAAAUUGCAUAUUCAGGUUUCAAUAAAGAGGCCCAAUCGACUGUUUAGCAAAAACACAGAGCUCUGCAAACUCGUAAGAGGAAGUAUAGAGUUUGACGCCUGCCCUGUGCUGGAAGGUUAACAGGAGAUGUCAAUCGAAAGAUGAAGCAUUGAAUCGAAGCCCCAGUAAACGGUGGCCGUAACUAUAACGGUCCUAAGGUAGCGAAGUCCCUUGUCGGGUAAAUUCCGACCUGCAUGAAUGGCGUAACGAGUUGGGCGCUGUCUUAACGAUACACUCAGUGAAUUUGUAGUAGGGGUGAAAAUGCCCCUUACCUGCAACUGGACGGAAAGACCCCGUGCACCUUUACUGUAGUUUUACAUUGAUGUUUGGAAGAAUAUGUGUAGCAUAGGCGGGAAGCUAUGAAACUAAGGCGCUAGCUUUAGUGGAGCUAAAAAGUGAAAUACCGCUCUUAUUGUUUUGAAUAUCUAACUUUACUCCAUUAUCUGGAGAAAGGACAUUGUAUGAUGGGCAGUUUGACUGGGGUGGUCGCCUCUUAAAGAGUAACGGAGGCAUUCAAAGGUUCCCUCAAGACGAAUAGAAAUCGUCGGUUGAGCGUAAACGCAUAAGGGAGCUUAACUGUGUGACAAACAAGUCGAGCAGAUGCGAAAGCAGGAGUUAGUGAUCUAGCGGUUCCGAAUGGAAGGGCCGUUGCUAAAUGGAUAAAAGGUACGCCGGGGAUAACAGGCUGAUCUCCUCUGAGAGUCCAUAUCGACGAGGAGGUUUGGCACCUCGAUGUCGGAUCAUCGUAUCCUGGGGCUGGAGAAGGUCCCAAGGGUUUGGCUGUUCGCCAAUUAAAGCGGUACGUGAUCUGGGUUCAGAACGUCGUAAGACAGUUCGGUCCUUAUCCGUUGUAGGCGCAAGGUAUUUGAGUGAGGCUGUUCCUAGUACGAGAGGACCGGAAUGGGUUAACCUCUGGUGUACCAGUUGUUCUCCACGAGCAAGCUGGGUAGCUAAGUUAAUUAGAGAUAACCGCUGAAAGCAUCUAAGUGGGAAGCUCGUCACAAGAUUAGAUACCUCUCCUUCGAGAGAAGGUUAAGAUUCGUCAAAGACUAUGACGUUGAUAGGCUGGAAGUGUAAGUAUAGUAAUGUACUCAGCUGACCAGUACUAAUAGAUCGAGAGUGUUAAUCAU
rnacentral:rRNA from 1 species